UUUAGGUUUAGAUUUACGUUUAUUUCAUUCCAAAGCAAGACAUUACAAAUAAUAUGUUUGUGUGUGAGACAAAUUCAAGCAAUACAUUAAAAACAAUAUGUUGUGUGUGUGUGUGUGUGUACAUGAGUCUGGCAUAUACUUAUUACAUUGGAAUAUAAUUGUUUUGGAACUCAUGGGUUUUUGAUCCUCUUAAUGAACCUGUUGGUGUUAUCAUCUAAAAAUCCAUUGCAUCAUUUUUAAACUGGGUUCAAAUGAACAAAUUUCUCCUUUUGUUCAGUUGGUAAUUAUAUCGCCUCUGUAAUUAUCCUACCAGUGUAGUUCACUCUUAGACAUACUGUGGAUCCUUGUGAAAUCCAUCUGUGUUAUAUAGGGCACAUCUGCAACACUCCUGUCAUGCAGAGCUGCAAGAAUGUGAAUGCAACAAACACGACCUCGAGCACUCAUGAACAGGAUAUCCAUCCUCUCACAUUCAUCUGCACUCUUCUCAUCCCCAAAGGAAUGUGCAUAUAUUACCUUUUAACAUUACAGGUGAGCUUUGCUUUUCACAGAUAAUUGUGCAGAAAUUUCCAAAGUUGCCAAUUAGCAUUAACAAAAGAUUUAGGAUUAAGUGUAAGAACCCAAACACACAACACAAGAUAAUUAUAUCAAUUUGUCAUGAGAAAUCAAAACAGAUAAUUUUAGGAUCAUUUGACCCAGAGUGUUUUACUGACACAUUGGUGAAAACAAAAGAUGCAUACAUACACACACACAUUAUGCUAAUAAGUUAUUUGAGAAGUUAAUUGCAUAGAUGUACUGUAUGUAAUCAUGAAAGAUUCAUUCUGGCUUAUGCAAGCAUCUGUGUUGUGAUUUAAAAAUGCAAAACUGAUUUAUUGGACUAUAUAAACUGUGAUAAACAUUAAACAUUUGGUACUAUGCAAAUAAUCUGUAAUUAUAUUACUAAGUACUUAUGGUAUCCAGUAUUCCGUGUUUUUAAUAGACUACUAAAAUGCUGUGGGUGGUUUCCUCCCACCAAAUGUUACUUAUAAAUAUAUACAUACAAAUACUGAUAAUGCAUGGAUUGUAUUUGUUUAGGAAAGGCUUCUCUUCUUAAUGAACAAGACCUGUGCUUAUAAAAUGUCCUCAGUUUCCUCCACAGUGUCUCUGGGACAGCAGCAACUGCAGCACCGUCUGAUCCAGUGCAGUAGCCGCAAUCUCCGUGAAGUUGGCCCGACUAUGCCUCCUCUCUGGGAUUCUCCUUUCGCUCCUUUCUCCCUCUCUUCACUCAGGGCAUGCACAGAAAUCUCCAUCCUUCCACCGACUCUUUCCAUCUGUUCAGUCGUCACUCUUUGAGCUCCUCCAAUCUGCUCUCCAUCUCCUUCCAGCAUCAGCGUUUGCACGGCUCUGUCCGUCACCCGUCUGAAUCUGUCCACUCUUAGAGCUGCAUCACUAAUGAGGCGCUCCAUAAUCUCCAAGUGCUGACUACUUGUUUCUGUUUCUUCACUCUUCAGUCGAUUGAUUUCAAUCAGCAUACACUCCCUUAACAGAAGUAUUUCCUUUUCCUUUUCUAUGAGCAUGAGUCUGUCAGUUUCCCUCUCAUGCUGGAGGGCUUCAUUAUAUCUUUCCAUUUCAGCUUUCCGUAGCUCCAACUCGAUUUGUUCUCUUUGCAUUCCCAGUCUUUCCAGUUCCUUCCUCUGUAUGUCUUGUAAUCUGUUCUUUAGUUCAUCUUUCAUUUCCUGUAUUCUCCUUUUCAUUGCAUCUAUCUCUUCAUACUGUGGUGGAGCAUCUCUUUCCUGGUCUUCAGUUUGUGUCUCUUGAGUUCUCUUCUGCUUAACAUCCUCUGUAUGUUCUUGAAUGGAUUUUGUAGUUGCCAUUACUUCAUGAUCUUCUUGUUCACUCUGAAUAUUAGUUUCCUGUUGAGUCUUCUCAGUCCUUGUCUGUCUUUGUAUGUCAGUCUCAAUUUGUUGCAGUUCUCUUCUUUUGCAUUCAUAGCUUUGUGUGAGAUGAUCAAUCUCCUUGGUAAGUCUCAGUACCUCAGCUUGAACCUUCUCCAGGCUGUUCCUCCUCCUCUCGAGACUCUCCAUGAUCACUGACUUUUCUUCUUCAGCGGUUUUACAUUCAUCCCUCAAUUUAUGCAGGUGAUCCUUUGCCUUCUCCAUCUCAAGAAGGCCAGUUUGUAUGAUCUUCAUUUUAUUCUCCAUUUCGUCAUGUUGCCUCUGUAGUUCAGCUCUCAUGAUGUUUAGCUCAUCUCGUUCUAGGGUUGUGCCAUCCAUUAGCUGAAGAACUUCUCUUUGGGUGUCAGUUUUGUAGAUUUUUGCUUUUGUUUCUCCAUCUGUUUUGGCCCAAUGAAUCUCAGUCAGUUCCAGACUGCUGUCUCUGUCUGUCUUUUUCUCCUCUUUAGUGUCUUGUACUUGUUCCAAUGCUUUUUUGUAUGUGACUUUCUCAGCAUCCCUGUCACUUUUAACGGAAGUAUCAUCUGUUUUUCCCUUGAUUUUUAGUGUCUCCUGUUCAUUUUGCUUUUGUUGAAGCAACUCAUUUUCAAUGUUUUCCUUCUCUUCUUUCAGUGACCCUAUAGUCUCUUCCAGUUGUCCCAACUUUAUCACGAAUGCUUCUGUGAUGCUCUCUAUUUCCUUAUUUUUCUUCUCAAGGUUGUUUGAUAAAUCCUCCUUGUCUUGUGUAAGUUGUAGCAGUUUUUCUUCAUUUCUUGACUUCUCCUUCAUGACUUCCUUCAUAUUUCUCUCAAAGUCUUUUUUUGCUUGUUCCAGUUCAUGUCUCUCUUUUUUCAUCAUUGUCUUCAUUCUCUCCAAAUCUUCAAUUUCUUUGUUUAAAGAGUCCAUUAUUUCUUGCACUUCAGAUGGGUGUGUGUCUUUUGACUUGGCCACAGUGGGUUGUUUUUUCUUUGUUGCAGCCGUUUCAUCUUCUAAUUCCUUUUGUCUACCAUCAUCUGUUUUCUUAAAGUCAUCCAAAGAUGUUUGUGUUUCAGCAUCUACUGAGGUGGUCUUCAUCUGAUAUAUCUCAAGUUCAUCUGUUUUUUGUUUCUUUACUUCUACGUCCUCUCUUAGGACAUCAGCAUCCCUCUUUGAGUGAUCUUUUGUUUUCAUCUCUUCUGGUAAGCGAUGCAUUUCUACUUUCUGUCUCUUUAUUUGAAUCUCCAUGUUUAACAUCUCCAGUUCAGAUAAUUGUCUGUUUAUUUGCUUUUGCAGGUCCUCCAUUGUUCUUGUCUUUUCUUCUAUAAUGCCUUCCAUGUCCUCUUUUUCUUUCUGCAUCAUGUCUUUAUCUUGUUGCAGCAAAGUUCUCUCAUGUUGUAUGCUUUGUUUGCUGUCUUCAGCCUCUUUCUUCAGUCUGUUUAAAUCAGCUCUCUCCUUUUCGAUACGAUAUUUUUCACUUUCAUUUAUCUUUUUGCUGUUUUCAAUCUCCUUUUUGUCCCUUUGAAUGUCAUUAUUAAGCUUUUCAAGCUCUUCUUGUUUUGUCUGGAUAUUUUUAUUGAGCAUAUGUCUGUGUUCAUCAAGUUCAGACUUCUCUUUCUGAAGCACAUCUCUCUCUCGUUUGAUGACCACCAUGAUGUCUUCUAAUUCCUGCUGCUGUUGAUCUAAUGUGAGCUUUUUCUUUUCGAUCUGAUUUUUUUCCACCUCAAUUGUGUUCCUCAGUUCUUCUAGUUCAUCCAUCUGUUUCUGGAGAUCAGCCUGCAAUUCAGCAUCUGUCUUUUCUUCUUCAGUGUCCUCCUUGACCUUUUGUAAAGCAGCUUGGAUCUGUGUUUCACUCUCCACUGCUGUUUUUACAUCUUUCUUCUUUAUUUGGGUCUUGGCUUGCUGAUCAAUUUCUGUCAGUAAAUCUGCUCUUUUCUGAGUUAAAUUUUCCAUCUCUUUUUCAAACUGUUCUCUGUUUUCUGCCAUUUCUUGCUUGGACCUUUCAAUUUCAAAAUUUAAGCUUUGCAGUUCAUCUUUCUUUCUCUGGAUUUCUUUCUUCAAAGCAUCAGUCUCCUCUCUUUCCUUUCCAAGAGGAUCUGCUGUGAUUUUCUCAAGCUCAUCGGUCUGUUGCUUUGCAUCAACUUUGAUUUGAUCAAAAACAUUCUUCUGAUCUUCAAAUGUUUUGAUUUUUUCUUGUAGUUGUCGUCUGUCUUGUUCUAGAUGAGUUUUCAUGCUCUCUAAAUCAUUUCUCACUUUUCUGUUUUCAUUCAUCAAGCCAUCUACCUCUUGCUGCUGUUGAUUCAUAACAAUUUGCCUCUUUUCCAGCUGCAUUUUCUCAGCUAUCACAAUGUUUCUUAAGUUAUCUACAUCUUUUCUUUGCAUGUCAAGUUCUUUUUCUUUGUUUUCCAGAUCCUGUUCUUUAAGUCGUAUUUCAUUCUGUGUGCUUUCCACUGUCUCUCUUAGCUGUGUUAUAUCAGUAAUCUUCUGCUCCAAUGUCAGCCUCUCUUUGUGCAGUUCUUGCAUUGUCAAGUCAUUUUUUUCUUUUUGCUUUUGGAGAUCUUCUCUUAGAGCCUCAUUCUCUGCUUUGCUCUUCUCUAAGUUCUCUUUCUGUGUCUGAAGUUGCAGUAGAUCUGAUUGCAGAAGCUUUGUCUGCCUCUCGAUGUCGGCACGCAUAGUACUGAGCUCUUCUUCUUUCCUUCUCAUGUCAUCCAGUCUCUUUGGAAUGUUCUCUUGGUCUUUACUGAUUUGAGAGGUGAUUCGGUCAGUUUUCCUGAUUUCCUCAUUAAGAUUUUCAGACUUUCUUUGUAAAUCUGCCUUGAUCUCCUCCAGAGAGUCUUUUUCUUUUUGAAUAUUUUGUUUGUCAUUGUUCAUUUGCACAAUGUUGCUGUCCAGUUGAGAUUUUUUAUUUUCAGUUUCGUUCAUUAACUGCUUCAGCAUUUUCUUUUCCUCUUCAAUGCUCUUCUUCUCCAACUGUAACUCGGUUUUUAAUUGAUCCAUUUCAUGUUUUUCUGUUAACAGUCUGUCCAGCAUAUCUUUCUUCUCUUCCUCAGAUUUAUUUCUCAAUUGCUCUAGGUCUUCCAACUCACUCUUGAUGGUUUUCAGAAUGUUUUCCAUCUCUUGCUUUUCUUGUUUUACUUCUGCUUUCUCUCUGUCAAGUUCAAUUUUCUCUCUUUCUAAGAUAUUCCUUAGCUCUUCUACUUUGGUUUUCUGUUUCUGUAUAUCUGCUUCGCAUAGAGUUACUUUCUCUCUCUUAUUUUCCAUUUCAGUGGUUUUCCUUUCUAGCUCAGCAUUCAUUUUCUCCAAAGCCUUUCUUUCUCUUUGCAUGUCAUUCUCUUUGAUUUCAAAAUCCUCUUGCUGUUUUCUGAUUAUUUUCUCUAGCUCUUCAUGUUUAGUCUGUAUUUCUGCAUUCAUCUGUUCAAUUUGAUUCCUUUCUUUUGCUAACCUCACCUUGACAUUUUCUAUGUCUUCUAACUGUCUCUGUAUCUCAACUUCAGCAUGCUUCUCUCUUCUUUUGUUUUCCUCUGCUAGUUUAUCCAUAUCUUCUCUUUCUUUUUGUUGUUGAAUAACUAAAGCAUUUAGAUUUUCCCUCUCUUUUUGUAAGUCCUUCAUAAUUUUCUCUAGAGCAUUUGUCUCGUGUUGAAUCUCAGUCCUUAUGUCUUCUAAUUUUUGUUUUUCAAGCUUGAUCUCUUCUUUUUGGUCAUUUAAUUGGGUUUGCAUCUUUUCAAUAUGUUCCAUCUCUCUAUUAAUUCUCUCUUUGGUGGUUUCAACGUCCUCUUUCUCUUUCAGCAAUUGAUCAUUCAGAUGUGCUAGUCUUUUUCUCUCAGUUUUUAAGACUUGCAUGUCCUCGUCAUCUUGUCUGGACCUUUCAGUGGCUACCUGUGUCUCAACCCACUUUAUUUCUGCAGCUUUCCCAAUGUCUUCCACUUGUUGUUUGUGUUUGUUUAUUUCACACCUCUCUUGUUCUAGCUCACUCUUCUCCAUUGUCACUUCAUUCAUCAUUUCUUCUAGGUCUUUUGUCUGCUUUUGAAUUUGUUCUUUCAUGUGCAGCAGCUCGUCUCUUCUCAUUCUUAAAUCUUCAUUUUCCUUUUUAAUUUGUUCACGUUCUUCAGCCAUCUCAUCCUUAAAUUUCUCCAGAUUUUUCUUCUCUGCCUCUCUCUCCUCUGUUUUGAACUGUAGAUUUUCUAAUUCCUUAAGCUUAAUAUUCAGUUCAUUCACCAUGUCCUGUAAUCUCAUUUCUGCUUCUCUCUUUUCUUUUUCUAGAAACUGACAAGUGCUUUUCAAUUCUGAUUUUUCUCUGUUCAAAUUGUCAUUCAUCUGUUCCAGGUCAUCCUUCUGUCUCUUGGUUUCAUUGAGGAUUGCUUCAAUCUGGAUAAUUUUAUCUUGUAAGAUCUUAUCACUGUCCGUGACCCUUAUUUCUGCAGCCAUUUGCUGCAUUUCAGCUUUCUUCUUUUCCAGCUCACCCUUCUCUCUUGUUAUAAUGUCCAUCAUGUUUUCAAUUUCUCUCUGCUCAUUCUGGAGGUCGGCUUUCAUCCUUUCUAUUUCAUCUUUCUCUUCUUUUAAUGUGUGCAUAACACUGUGAGUUUCAUCAUAUUGCACUUCUGCAUUGGUUUUCUGUGGUUCCUCUUUCUGCAAAUCUGUUUUUAUUUGCUCCAGUUCAUGUUUUUCUCUCUCACAUUCCCUUUGUAUCUUCUGAAUUUCUUCUCUUUCAUUGUCAAUUUCAGUCUUCAUUUUUUCAAAUUCUGCUCUCCUUUGAUGAAGCUCUUUUUGUCUCCGUUCUUCAGUGUGCUCCAUUUCUUCUUGCUUUGUUUUCAUUUCCUCCUCAAUCUGUUUAAUCUUGUUUAUCCUUUUAUUCGCCUCAGUCAUAAUAAUUUUAAACUCUUCCUGUUCUUUGAAAAGUUGAGCUGCCAUUUCUUCUACCCUUUUCUUUUCUUUCAGUACAUCAUCCAAAAGUCUUUCUAUGUCCUCUGCUCUCCUUAACCUUGAUUCCAGCUUGUCUCUUUCUGUCUCUGUGUUUUGUUUCAUAAGCCUAAACUCCUCUUUAUGUGUCUCCAGAUCGAUUCUCAUUCUAUUCAGUUCAUUUCUUUCUGAGUUCAGCAUUGCCUGACGCAUCUCCAUUUCCAUUUGCUCCUUCUGCAGCCCAGUGAGUAUUUUUUCAACUUCAUCCCUCUCCUUUCUUAAUGCUUCCUUUUGGUUCUGUAUUUCCUCCAGGUGUCUUUUUAUAUACUCCUCUCUCUCUGGAAGUAUUUCAGUUAACUCGUGUUCCUCCAUUUCUUUGGUGUCCACCAUCUCUUGUCUCUUUCGUUUUAGCUCUGUAUUUAUGAAGUCCAACUCCUCUUGUCUCUGUUUCAUCUCAGCAGAGAUGGUUUCCAUUUCUCUCUUCUUUUUUUGUAGUUGAAAUUCCAUGUUUUCUAUUUUCUCCUGUUUGCUCUUGAUCUCCAUUAGAAUUUUUUCCAUGUCCAUCUUAAUUUGAUCUUGAGUCAUUUCUAACUCAGAUCUUUCAUUUUCCAUAUUCUGUCUGCAUAACUCCAUCUCUUCAUAUUGUUUCUCCAGAUUCUUCCUCUCUCUGUCAGUGUGUUGUCUCAUUGUCUCAAUCUCUUUCUGGUCUCUCUGUAAAACAAGUCUUGUCUUUUCUAGUUCCCUCUUCUCAGUCAUCAACAUUUCAGUAAGGCCAUCCACUUCAUCUUUAUUGAACUCCAACUUUACUGUCAUGGAUGGAUCAGCUAUAUCUUUAUAUUCUGUUGUCAGUGCAGUGUCUUCUUGGCUCGAGUCCAUUUUGGUUUCUUCACUUCUCAUUUUGAGCUCUGUGUCCUCCUGAUCUCUCAUUCUCUCUAAUUCGUCUUCCAUCCCUUUUGUCAUGAAAGUUGUAUAUUCCUUAUGAAUGCCUGUGUGUUCCUCAACAAUCUGUUCCUGAGGGGCUGAAAUGUUACCUACAGGAAUGUUGUCUAGAUCAGAUGUUUGUGUAGCAGAACUAACCAAAAUUAAUUCCAGCCUCUGUGUUGGUUGUUUUCUCUUCAUCUCGUCCAUUGCCUCUCUCUGAUGUUCAAGGAUUUUUUUGUUUCUUUCAAGUGCUUCCCUUUCCCUUUGAAUCUCGGACAAGAGUCUGUUGGCUUCAUCUAUCUGUAUCUGUUUUCCUUGAGAGGCCAUUUCUUCUCUCUUCUGUUGAAGAAGCUGUCCAGAUAGAUGUUCUUCUUUUAAUGUUUCAGACACAUCUUUCUCUUUUUCUAACUGUUGUGUCUGCUCUUUCAUGAUCUCUGUUUUAUCAGUCUGUCUCUUGAUUUCAGCCUUGGACUGUUCCAGAUCUUGCCUCUCAUCUUGCACUAUUUGCAAUUCCAGUUUGAUUUGCUCUUCUUGAGCAUUGAGUUCGGCUUUUGUUUGAUCCAUUUCCUUCUUUAGAUGGUCUAUCAUAUCCUUGCUCCUAUCAGUUUCUUUUUGUUCUAUCAAUAUCUUGGCCAUCAGUUGAUCAAGUUCCUCUCUCUCCAUCUUUGCUUUUACUCUCAUUUCUUCUUCCAUUUGUUGUCUGUAUUUUUCAAAAUCAUUUCUCAUGUUCUCUAGAUCUCUUCUCUCCUCAUUCACAACUCUUAUACUCUCCUCCAGUCUUUGCUGCUGUUGAUUAAUUUCAGCCUUUUCAGUCUGUAAGUCAUUUUUGAUUUCUUCAAUUUCGUCUCUUUGUUUUUGCAAUUUCUUCUGGAGAACAUCCAGCUCAUUCCACUUCUUCAUCUUGUCGUCUUUUUCUUUCUCUAAUUCAUUUCUCUGUCUCAAGAUUUCACCAGCCUUGUGCUCAAGAAGCUUCUUCUCUUCAUCCAUUGAUCUUUUACUCAUCUCUUCUUUUUCUUUUUGUUCUGUCAUGUGCUUCUCUAGGUCAUCAGCCCUUCUUUGCAAAUCUUCUCUUUCCUUUUCAAUGUUAUUUCUAUCUUUUUCCAGAAGAUUUUUCUCUGUCUCAAACUUUUGAUUUUGUUGUGAUAUAUCAAACAUGAUUUUCUCUAAUUCACCCCUUCUCCUGUUUGUUUCUUCUAUGACUCUUUCAUAUUCCUUAUUAGCCUGUUUAAGUUUUUCUUCCAUUUCUGUUUUUUCAUCUUUCUUUCUGGUGUCCUCCAGAACAUUCCUCAUAGACUCAGUCUUUGACUGUUCAUAUUCAUAAAUUCUCUGUUGUAAUUCUGUCAAUUUAUGAUUCAUUUCUUCUCUUUCUUUUUCUAGAAGGUCUCUGCAGUUCUUUAACUCUUGUUUUUGUUUAUUUAUAUCUGUGUUCAUCCUUUCCAGAUCUUCUUUUUGUCUGUUUGUUCUUUCAGUGACACUCUCAAUUUCUUCCUUUUCCUUUUGUAGAUGAGCUUCCUUUUCUUUCAUUGUUUGUCUCUCCUUAUUAAUUUCCUCUUCCAUGUAUUGCACUCGUUCACUUUCUUUUUGCAGUUCUGUCUUUAUUUGAGACAGAAAAUCUUUUUCAUCAUUGAUCUUUUGUCUCUCAAGUUCAAUUUCUUCUUCAUGAAGUUUAAUAUUAUUUCUCUUUUCUUCCUCCUCAUUCAAUAAUUUCUGUACAUUUUCUUUGCUUUUCUCAAUAUUAGAUUUUUCUAGAUCUGUCUGUUUUAUUUUGUUGUCAAGUUCUGAUCUCUCUUCUUCUAUUUGUUUUCUUUGUAACAUUACUUCAGACCACAUCUUCUCAAGGUCAUUUCUUUUCUGUUCAAUGAUCUUUUUGGCAUCAUUAAUUUUCUUCUGCUCAUGAUCUAUUUUAGUUUUCUCUCUUUCCAGUUCACUCUUUAUCUGACCAAAUUCUUCUCUCUCCAUCUUUUCUUUUACCAUCCUUUCUUCUUCUUUCUCUUGUUCUUUCUUAAUAUGUUCUUGCAGUGUACACAACUCUUGCAUUUUUAGGCAUAUGUCUUGAUGUUCCUGCUCAGCUUUAGUUUUCAGCUUUUGAAUCUUGACUUUGGUCUCUUCUAGACCUUUUCUUUCUUCUUCUAUUUCCUUUUGUUCUGUUAGAUAUUCUUCCUUCUGUUUGCUGACUUGAGCAUCAAAUGCAUUCAUUCUCAGUUGUAACACUGUCCAUUUAUGGUUUAUUUCUUCUCUUUCUUGUUCUAGAAGGUCUCUGCUGUUCUUCAUCUCUUGUUUUUGUUUAUCCAGAUCCUCUUUCUGUCUCUUUGUUUCUUCAGUGACACUCUCAAUGUCUUCCUUUUCCUUUUGUAGGCGAGCUUCCAUUUCCUUCAGUGUUUCUCUCUCCUUCUUUAUUCCCUCCUCCAUGUAUAUGUUUUGUUCAGUUUGUUUUUGCAGCUCUGUCUUACUUUGAGCUAGAAUUAAUUUUUCAUCAGUGAUCUUUUGUCUUUCGAGGUCAAGUUCUUCUCUUUGGAGUUUCAUAUAAUUUCUCUGCUCUUCUACUUUAUCCAAUGAUUUCUGAACUAUUUCUUUGUUCUUUCCAAUUUCAUCCUUUUCUAGAUCAAUAUCUUGUAUUUUCUGGACAAGUGCUGAUCUCUCUAGUUUGAUUGCUUCUCUCAUGUCUUCCAUUUGCUUUCUUUCUGUCAUGAUGUCAGACCUUAUCUUUUGCAGGUCUUUUCUUUCCUGUUCAAUCAUCUUCUUAUCAUUGUCCAUUUCAGUUUUCUCUCGUUCCAGUUCCUUUAUUAUCUGAUCGAGUUCUUCUCUCUCUAUCUUUGCUUUUACUCUCAUUUCUUCUUCUUUCUCUUUUUCUUUCAUAAUAUGUUCUUGCAGUGUGUUCAACUCUUGUAUUUUUAGUCUUAUGUCUUGUUGUUCCUGCUCAGCUUUAGUCUUCAGCUCCAUGAUCUUGACUUUGGUCUGUUCUAGACCUUUUCUUUCUUCUUCCAUCUCAUUCUGUUUCAUGAAAUCUUGUUCCUUCUGUUGCCUGGCUUGAGUAUCAAAUUCAUCAAUUCUCUGUUGUAACUCUGUCCAUUUAUGGUUUAUUUCUUCUCUUUCUUGUUCUAGAAGGUCUCUGCUGUUCUUCAUCUCUUGUUUUUGUUUAUCCAGAUCCUCUUUCUGUCUCUUUGUUUCUUCAGUGACACUCUCAAUGUCUUCCUUUUCCUUUUGUAGGCGAGCUUCCAUUUCCUUCAGUGUUUCUCUCUCCUUCUUUAUUCCCUCCUCCAUGUAUAUGUUUUGUUCAGUUUGUUUUUGCAGCUCUGUCUUACUUUGAGCUAGAAUUAAUUUUUCAUCAGUGAUCUUUUGUCUUUCGAGGUCAAGUUCUUCUCUUUGGAGUUUCAUAUAAUUUCUCUGCUCUUCUACUUUAUCCAAUGAUUUCUGAACUAUUUCUUUGUUCUUUCCAAUUUCAUCCUUUUCUAGAUCAAUAUCUUGUAUUUUCUGGACAAGUGCUGAUCUCUCUAGUUUGAUUGCUUCUCUCAUGUCUUCCAUUUGCUUUCUUUCUGUCAUGAUGUCAGACCUUAUCUUUUGCAGGUCUUUUCUUUCCUGUUCAAUCAUCUUCUUAUCAUUGUCCAUUUCAGUUUUCUCUUGUUCCAGUUCCCUUAUUAUCUGAUCGAGUUCUUCUCUCUCUAUCUUUGCUUUUACUCUCAUUUCUUCUUCUUUCUCUUUUUCUUUCAUAAUAUGUUCUUGCAGUGUGUUCAACUCUUGUAUUUUUAGUCUUAUGUCUUGUUGUUCCUGCUCAGCUUUAGUCUUCAGCUCCAGGAUCUUGACUUUGGUCUGUUCUAGACCUUUUCUUUCUUCUUCCAUCUCAUUCUGUUUCAUGAAAUCUUGUUCCUUCUGUUGCCUGGCUUGAGUAUCAAAUUCAUCAAUUCUCUGUUGUAACUCUGUCCAUUUAUGCUUUAUUUCUUCUCUUUCUUGUUCUAGAAGGUCUCUGCUGUUCUUCAUCUCUUGUUUUUGUUUAUCCAGAUCCUCUUUCUGUCUCUUUGUUUCUUCAGUGACACUCUCAAUGUCUUCCUUUUGCUUUUGUAGACAAGCUUCCAUUUCCUUCAGUGUUUCUCUCUCCUUCUUUAUUCCCUCGUCCAUGUAUUUGUUUUGUUCAGUUUGUUUUUGCAGCUCUGUCAUACUUUGAGCUAGAAUUAAUUUUUCAUCAGUGAUCUUUUGUCUUUCGAGGUCAAGUUCUUCUUUCUGGAGUUUAAUAUAAUUUCUCUGCUCUUCUACUUUAUCCAUUAAUUUCUGAACUAUAUCUUUGUUCAUUUCUGUCUCAUCCUUUUCUAGAUCAAUUUCUUGCAUUUUCUGGUCAAGUGCUGAUCUCUCUAGUUUGAUUGCUUCUCUCAUGUCUUCCAUUUGCUUUCUUUCGGUCAUGAUGUCAGACCUUAUCUUUUGCAGGUCUUUUCUUUCCUGUUCAAUCAUCUGCUUAUCAUCGUCCAUUUCUGUUUUCUCUCGUUCCAGUUCCCUUAUUAUCUGACCGAGUUCUUCUCUCUCUAUCUUUGAUUUUACUCUCAUUUCUUCUUCUUUCUCUUUUACUUUCAAAAUAUGUUCUUGCAGAGUGUUCAACUCUUGUAAUUGUUGGCUUAUGUCUUGUUGUUCCUGCUCAGCUUUAGUCUUCAGCUCCAGGAUCUUGACUUUGGUCUGUUCUAGACCUUUUCUUUCUUCUUCCAUCUCAUUCUGUUUCAUGAAAUCUUGUUCCUUCUGUUGCCUGGCUUGAGUAUCAAAUUCAUCAAUUCUCUGUUGUAACUCUGUCCAUUUAUGGUUUAUUUCUUCUCUUUCUUGUUCUAGAAGGUCUCUGCUGUUCUUCAUCUCUUGUUUUUGUUUAUCCAGAUCCUCUUUCUGUCUCUUUGUUUCUUCAGUGACACUCUCAAUGUCUUCCUUUUCCUUUUGUAGAUGAGCUUCCAUUUCCUUCAGUGUUUCUCUCUCCUUCUUUAUUCCCUCCUCCAUGUAUUUGUUUUGUUCAGUUUGUUUUUGCAGCUCUGUCAUACUUUGAGCUAGAAUUAAUUUUUCAUCAGUGAUCUUUUGUCUUUCGAGGUCAAGUUCUUCUUUCUGGAGUUUCAUAUAAUUUCUCUGCUCUUCUACUUUAUCCAUUAAUUUCUGAACUAUUUACUUUGUUCUUUCCAAUUUCAUCCUUUUCUAGAUCAAUAUCUUGUAUUUUCUGGACAAGUGCUGAUCUCUCUAGUUUGAUUGCUUCUCUCAUAUCUUCCAUUUGCUUUCUUUCUGUCAUGAUGUCAGACCUUAUCUUUUGGAGUUUCAUAUAAUUUCUCUGCUCUUCUACUUUAUCCAUUAAUUUCUGAACUAUUUCUUUGUUCUUUCCAAUUUCAUCCUUUUCUAGAUCAAUAUCUUGUAUUUUCUGGACAAGUGCUGAUCUCUCUAGUUUGAUUGCUUCUCUCAUGUCUUCCAUUUGCUUUCUUUCUGUCAUGAUGUCAGACCUCAUCUUUUGCAGGUCUUUUCUUUCCUGUUUAAUCAUCAUCUUAUCUUCGUCCAUUUCAGUUUUCUCUCGUUCCAGUUCCCUUAUUAUCUGAUCGAGUUGUUCUCUCUCUAUCUUUGCUUUUACUCUCAUUUCUUCUUCUUUCUCUUUUUCUUUCAUAAUAUGUUCUUGCAGUGUGUUCAACUCUUGUAUUUUUAGGCUUAUGUCUUGUUGUUCCUGCUCAGCUUUAGUCUUCAGCUCCAGGAUCUUGACUUUGGUCUGUUCUAGACCUUUUCUUUCUUCUUCCAUCUCAUUCUGUUUCAUGAAAUCUUGUUCCUUCUGUUGCCUGGCUUGAGUAUCAAAUUCAUCAAUUCUCUGUUGUAACUCUGUCCAUUUAUGCUUUAUUUCUUCUCUUUCUUGUUCUAGAAGGUCUCUGCUGUUCUUCAUCUCUUGUUUUUGUUUAUCCAGAUCUUCUUUCUGUCUCUUUGUUUCUUCAGUGACACUCUCUAUGUCUUCCUUUUGCUUUUGUAGACAAGCUUCCAUUUCCUUCAGUGUUUCUCUCUCCUUCUUUAUUCCCUCCUCCAUGUAUUUGUUUUGUUCAGUUUGUUUUUGCAGCUCUGUCUUACUUUGAGCUAGAAUUAAUUUUUCAUCAGUGAUCUUUUGUCUUUCGAGGUCAAGUUCUUCUUUCUGGAGUUUUAUAUAAUUUCUCUGCUCUUCUACUUUAUCCAUUAAUUUCUGAACUAUUUCUUUGUUCUUUUCAGUUUCAUCCUUUUCAAGAUCAAUCUCUUGCAUUUUCUGGUCAAGUGCUGAUCUUUCUAGUUUGAUAGUCUCUUUCAAGUGUUUUUCCAUUUGUUCUCUUUCUGUCAUUGUUUCAGACCGCAUCUUCUCCAGGUCUUCUCUUUCCUUUUUAAUCAUCUUCCUGUCGUUGUCCAUUUCAGUUUUCUCUUGUUCCAAUUCCCUCUUUAUCUGGUCAAGUUCUUCUCUUUCCAUCUUUGCUUUUACUCUCAUUUCUUCUUCUUUCUCCUUUUCUUUCAUUAUAUGUUCUUGCAGUGUGUUCAACUCUUGUAUUUUUAGGCUUAUGUCUUGUUGUUCCUGCUCAGCUUUAGUCUUCAACUCCAGGAUCUUGACUUUGGUCAGUUUUAGACUUUUUCUUUCUUCUUCCAUCUCCUCCUGUUUUAUUAAAUCAUUUUCCUUCUGUUGUCUAACUUGAGUUUCAAAUUCAUCAAUUCUCUGCUGUAACUGUAUCCAUUUAUUGUGUAUUUCAUCUUUCUCUUGCUCUAGAACCUCUCUGUAUUUUCUCAGCUCUUGUUUUUGUUCAUUUAUAUUUGUGCUCAUCAUUUCCAGAUUUUCUUUUCGUCUAGUCGUUUCUUCAGUGACACUCUCAAGUUCUUCCUUUUCCUUUUGUAAAAGAGCUUCCAUUUCUUUCAGCGUUUCUCUCUCUUUCUUUAUUACCUCUUCCAUGCAUCUGAUUUCUUCACUCUCUUUUUGCAGUUUAGUCUUUAUUUGAGCCUGAAGAUCUUUUUCAUCAUUGAUCUUUUGUCUCUCAAGUUCAUGUUUUUCUUCAUGGAGUUUAUUAUAAUUUCUCUGUUCUUCUACCUCAUCUAGUAUCUUCUGUACAAUUUCUUUGCUCUUCUCAAUGUCACAUUUUUCUAGAUCAGUCUGUUUUAUUUUGUUGUCAAGGUUUGAUCUCUCUUCUUCUAUUUGCUUUCUUUGUAACAUUAUUUCAGACCUCAUUUUCUCCAGGUCAUUUCUUCCCUGUUCAAUAAUAUUUCUGUCAUCAUAUAUUUUCUUCUGCUCAUGAUUUAUUUCAGUUUUCUGUCUUUCCAGAUCACUCUUCAUCUGAUCAAGUUCCUCUCUCUCCAUCUUUAGUUUUACUCCCAUUUGUUGUCUAUAUUCUUCAGAUUCAUUCCUCAUAUUCUCCAGAUCUCUUCUCUCCUCAUUCACAGCUCUUAUACUCUUCUCCAGGCUUUGCUGCUGUUGAUUAAUUUCAGCCUUUUCAGUCUGUAACUCAUAUUUGAUUUCUUCCAUUCCGUCUCUUUGUUUUUCUAAUGUCUUCCGGAGAACAUCCAGCUCAUUCCACUUCUUCAUAAUGUCCUCUUUUUCUUUCUCUAUUUCAUUUCUCUGUCUCAAGAUUUCACCAGCCUUUUCCUCAAGAAGCUUUUUCUCAUCAUCCAUUGAUCUUUUACUCAUCUCUUCUUUUUCUUUUUGUUCUGUCAUGUUCAUCUCCAGGUCAUCAGCUCGUCUUUGCAAUUCUUCUUUUUCCUUUUCAAUGUUAUUUCUCUCUUUUUCCAGAUGGUCUUUCUCAGUCUUAAUCAGUUGAUUUUGCUCUUCUAUGUCAUCAAUAGUCUUUUCUAGUUCACUUUUCUUCCUCUUAUUUUCUUCCAUGGUAUUGGCACAUUGAUCCAUCAUUUGUUUAAGGUGGGACUCCCUUAUCUCCAUAUUUUCUUGCUCUCUUUUGAUCUCUUCUAAGACGUUUUUCAGAUUUUCAGCAUCAUUCUGCAUCUCAGAUUUUGUCUGGUCAACCAGUUUUCUUUCCUUUUGGAGUUUUUCUGCUUCAGUUUGGAUCACUUCUUGUUGUUCCACCAGCUUGGCUUUCGUGAUUUCCAGAUCUUUCGUUAACUUGUUAAUCAUGUUCCUGUUUUCACCAAUGUCUUCUUUUUCUCUUUGUAUUUCAUCUCUCAGUUGUGAAAGUUCUUCUUCCUGCUUUGCAAUAGUCUUCAUGUCCUCUUGCAUUCUUUGUCUCUGAGCUUCUAGUUCAGUCCUCAACUUAUCCAUUUCCCUUCUUUCUUCCGCUAUCUCUCUUACACUUUGAUCCAGUCUUUGCUGCUGCUCAGUAAUAUAUUUCUCUCUCUGCUCCAGCUCAGUCUUCUGAAUUAUCACUCUUUGUCUCAUUGAUUCUAUUUCAUCAUUUACCAUAUUUAUAUCAGCUUUCUCUUUUUCAGUUUGUUCUCUCUCAGUAAGAAGCUCUAUCUUAAUUUUUUCCAGUUUUUCUCUUUCUUUCUCUAGCUCUUCUAACUGGACUUGAACCUGAUCUUUCUGUUGUGUAGUCCAGAUCUGCAGAUCAUCUUUUUUCCGCUUCAUUUCUAUAUUUUCAUUGUCUAUUUCAUGCCGUAUCUUCUUAAGCAACUCAAAGUCCUUAUUGAUUUCUUGUUUUUGCAGUUCUAUAUCAACCUGCAUCUCUUCAAGGGCAUGUUGUCUCGUAUUGGUUUCCUCAUGAACUUUAUCUAAAUGUUCCUGUUCAGUGUGAAGCUGAGCAGCAAUUCCAUCUAAUUCUAUAUUUCUCUUCUCUACUUCCCUUUCCUUCCUCUGUAUGUUUAGCUCUUUUUCAUCAAGAGCAUUCUGCUUGUCUUGCAUGAGUUGCUUUUGUAGUUUAAUUGACUGAAUCUGAUGGUGUAUUUCAGCUUGCAUUUGUUCAACCUUGUCUCUUUCUUUGUUGGUCAUGUAUUUUGUGUUUUCCAUUUCUUCUUUGGCCUUCUGAAGUAUUUGCUUCUCUUCAUUCAUUUUUAUGAUGUUAAGCUGCAAUAUCUGUUUCUGCUGUUCAGUUUCAAAUCUCUGUUUUUCCAGAUCUUCUCUCUCUUUUUUGUUUUCCUCACUGGUUUGAUCAUUCUGUCGCUGCUGGUUGAGUACCUCGACUUGCCGUUCCUCAAUGCUUGAUUUUUCCAUAAUAAGUUUGUUCUUCAAAAUUUCAUUUUCAUUUUGCUUGUUCUUUAUCUCUGCUCUUAAAGCUUCUAGUUUGUUUCUUAACGUCAUCAAGUUAUCCCUCUCUUCCUCUGUUUCUUGUUUUUCACGAAGAAGUUCUUCCUUCAUCUCCUCAAGGGCCAGUCUGUCCUUUUGUAUCUGCUCAAUCUGGCCCAUCAUUUGUUUUUCCAAGUCUUUCUUUUCUUUGUCAAUAUCUGUCUUUUCUUUGUCAAUUUCUGUCUUUUCCUUUUCAAGCAUCACUUUUGUUUUCUCAAUUUCUUGCUUUUGUCUCUCCAUCUCCUUUAUCAUCUUAUCAAGAUCCCUCAUUUUCAUUUCAGUCUCUUCAGACAAACAUUUAAUUUCUUCUCUGUCUUUAUCUAGUUGAACUUUAAUUUCUCUUUCUUUCUCCUUUAGGUUGGUGUCUAUUAUUAUCAUUUUAUCUGUUUGUAUCUUUAUCUCAGCUUUUGUCUUUUCAAGAUUAAAUUUAUCAUCUUGAAGUCGUUGAUUAUCCUUUUCGAUUUCUACUUUUGUUCUCUCCAGGUCAACCCUCAUUUGCAAUAAUUCUUCCAUUUCUUUAUCAUUAUUUUCUUUCUUACUUUUAAUGUCAUCUCUAAUUAUUUGCAACUCACUGUGAAGUUUGUUAGUUUCUUCCCUCUGUCUCUCUAAUUGUCUGAUUUCUUCCUCCACUCUUUGCUUUUCACCCUCAAUUUCCAGCCAGCAUUUCUCUUGAUCCUUUCUUUCCUUCUUGAUAACAUUUUGGAUCUCUUUGGAUUCUGCUCUUAUUUGUUCUAGUGCAUUCUUCUCAUCUUGUACAUUCAGUUUCUCAUGUCUUAGAUUUUGUAAUUGCUUCUCCAGAUCAUUUUUCAUGCUUUCAAGUUCAGCCUUCUCUUGAUCCAUCAACUUUUUGCUGAUUUCAAGCUGCUCUUUUUCUUUCUGUAUUUCUUCAGUCAGCUUUCGGUAUUCAUUGCAUUCUCUUGUAAUUGUUUCAUCCAUUUCCAUUAAUCGCUGUCUCUCCUCUUGAAUUUCGGCCUCCUUUCUUUCCAAAUUACUUUGAAUCUCCUUCUUGAUUUUAUACAUUUCAUCUUGAAUCUGUUUUAGCUGCUGCUGCUCUUCCAUGAAAGUUUUUACUUUGUUUUCAAGCUCACUUUCCUUUCUUUGCAGUUCUUCUCGAAGUGUAUCCAGUUUCUGUUUUUCUGAAUGUACAGUUUUCUUCUCUUUGUCAACAUCAUCUCUUUCCUUCAGAAUAUCCACCUCCAUUUGCUCUAGAGCCUCUUUGUGAUUUUGAAUCUCUUGUUUCGCCAUCUCAUCUUGUUCUUUCUGCUGUAAGGCUUUUCUUUCCAGGUCCUCUGUUUCUCUCACUAACACUUCCCUCUUAAGCUGCAGAUAUGUCAUUUCCCUUUCAUAAACAUCUCUGUCGUUUUUCAGUUGUAUCUUAUCAUCUUGAAGUUUUGCACUCAUUAUACUGAGAUCUUUCUUCUUGGUCUCUAUUUCGGUGAUGAUAUUCUCUAUAUCUUCUCUUUGUGUUUGAAGUUUUAAACUGAGGUCUGUUAAUCUGUCCCUCUCGUUGUUUGCUUCCUGAAUGAGUCUGUCAGUGAUCUCUGACUUCUUCUGAAGCUCAGCAUUCUCUUGUUCAAUCAAAUGUCUCUCUGUGCUGACCAUCUGCUUCAUUUCUUCCACUUGCUCUUUUUCUUUGUUUAGUUCACUCUUCAUCUCCUGUAGUUUCUCCUCCAUUUUUGUAGCAUCAUGGAGUUUUUCAUCAAGUUUAGCCCUCUCGUUUUCUAGUUCAUUCCUCGUCUUUUCUAGAUUUUUCAGUUCCACAUCGUAAGCCUUCAUGGCAGCACUCACUUCAUGCCUUUGUUGAUUGAUUUCAGCUUGUUCAUCUUUGAACCAAUCCUUCUCCAUGAUCAAAGCAUGUUUUGAAGAUUCAACAUCAACUCUCUGUCUGUGUAGUUCACUUCUAGAGAGUUCCAGUUCUUGCUUCUCUUGCCUUAAAUUGUCCAUUUCUUUUUCUAUAUCUUCUUGCUUCCUCAGUAUUUCCAUGUUGAUCUUUUCAAGUGUAUCUUUCUUUUUCUCCAUUUCUUCAACAAUCCAACUUUUCUCUUCCAACUCAUGUUUCUGCUUCUCCAGUAUCCGCUCUCCCCUCUUUACUUCAGAAGUAAUGCCUUCCAGUUCAGCCUUUUUCUUUUCAUGCAGGGUUUUCAUGUCUUCCAUGGUUUGCCAUUGGUUUUGUAUGUCUCUGUUGAGCUGUUCCAGAUCACGCUUGUUUCUCAAGAGUUCCUUAGUGACCAUUUGCAGUUCUUCCUUGUUCUUUCUUGUAUCCUUAAACUCUUCCAUUAUUUCUUUAGCUAUUUCUACCUUAACCAGCUCUCUUUUGGUCUCCACAUCCUCCUUUUCUCUGUUUAUCUCAUCCUUCAACUGCUCCAGUUCUUCUUUUUCUUUCUGCAGCAUUUCUCUCAUGUUCUCUUCCACCUGUUGCUUUUCUGCAAGUUCUGCUCUCAUCUUCUCCAAUUCAUUCUUAUCUCUUCUGGUGGUUUCUAUCUCUUUUCUAAGGCUUCCAAGAUUUUCCCGUAUUUGUCCAAUAUCUUGAAUGAGCCUCUGGAUCUCAGACUUGAAGUUUUCCUUUUCAUCUCUCACCAACUUACUUUCCUCCAUCCUGCUCUCCAUGUCAACUUUAAGAUUUCUCACCAUUUCCCUGAUUUUUACAACCUCUAAAAUUAGUCUUUGGAUGUCAGCAUUGGUGCUUUCCUCAUCUUCUAGAUUCACAGUUUUCUCCACCAAUAGCUCAAAAUCCUCUCUUGCACAUUGAACAUCAUUUCUGAGUAUUUCCAGCUCCUGCCGCUCUCUGUUGAUCUCCUCUCUUUCCUUUGCUAUCUCAGUCUUCAUUUUCUCCACCUCAUCCCUCUUUCUUAUCACUUGUUUCAUCUUCUGGUCCAGAUCUUUCUUUUCUAGGAAUAUUUCAGACCUUAAGACUUCCAGUUCUCCCUUCUCAUGCAUCAUUUUCUGAAUCCUUGUUUCUAGGACUUCUCUCUGGCUCUGUAUAUCCAUCAGCUCCACCUCUCUAGUGUCCUUUUCAUGUUGUAAUAUCUCAGACCUCAUGUUUUCUAGCUCAUCCAUCUGAUGUUUUAAGCCUGCUUUAGUUUUCUGAAGUUCUACCUGCUGUUUAUCCAGCUCAGCCUUCAACUCUGUUAGUUUGUCUAUUUGUCUGUUAAUUUCAUCUGUCUGACUCUCACUCUCUUCUUGCUGGUCAUCCAUGCUUAAUGAUUCCAUUUUCUUCCUUAAUUCCUCUGAAUCUCUCCUCAUUUCUUUCUCUUUUCUGGAAUGUUUAACUGUUUGUACUGUGUUUUCUCUAGUUGUUUCUUCUAGAAGGUUUUUGAGAAUUUCAUAUUGCUGCUUCAUGUCAACGAUUUCUUUGUUCAGAAGUUCAUUUUCGUCAUGAAGUUUUUGUUUGUCCAAUGCCAUUUCUUGUUUUUGUCUCUCCAAAUCAGCUCUGUUUUGCUCAAGAUCACUUCGCUCUUUGCUCAACAAGUCUUUGGUACUCUCAAUUUGCUGCUUCUCUUUUUGUAUCUCCUUGUUCUGUUGCUCAUAGGUUUCCUUCAUGCUAUGUUUCAUGGCUUCGACUUCCAGCCUCAUGUUCUCCAGUUCAAAUCGUUCAUUUCUAGCAGCCUUGACUUCAUCUUUCAUUCUUCUGAGAACCUCUCUGACAUGUUCAAUUUCCUGGAUCAGCCUCUGCAUGUAAGCACUCAUUUCUUGCCUUUCCUCUGAAUCCGCUUGAACAUUAACAUCUCUCUGCAUGCUUCUUUCCAGGUCAUGUUUUGUUCUCCAGGCCAUUUCCCUAGUCUUUUCAGCCUCUUGAAUAAGCCUCAGUAUCUUGGUGUUUAUUUGUUCUUUCUCUUCCAGAUCUCCACCUCUUUCUUCCGUAUGAGAUAGUAGUUCCUCUCCUGCUCGUUGUUUCUCAGCUUUCAUUCGCUCCAUGUCCUCACGCUCUAUACUUAACAUGACUCUGUCCAUUUCCAGUUUCUCAUUUGCACUUUCAAUAUCAGCUCUCAUUUUCUCCAGCUCAUCUCUCUUUCUCGCUGCCUGUCUCAUCUUGUGAUCAAGAUCUUUCCUCAUGCUAUCAGUUUCAUCCUGAAGAAGCUUCAAUUCUUUCAUCUCAUGUUUAGUCUUUUGCAUCUUGUCCUCUAAUUCAUCUUUCUGUUUGAGUAUUUCAGCUCUCAUACCAAUGAGUUCCUCUACUUGUGAUUGUCUUUUAGUCUCAAACUCUUCUUUUUGGAUUAAAAUAUUUGAUUUGAUCUCCUCAUAUUUCUCCAUUUCUUUUGUAGCCUCUCUCAACAUUUCAUCAUUUGCUUUUCUUUCUUUUGCUAACUUAGCUUUCAUUUGCUCUAGUUGAAUUCUUUCAUCUUGAAUAUCCUGUUUUUGAACUUUUAUCUCCUCUAAUUCUUUAUGUAGAUUUGAUUUAUUUUGUUCCAUAUCAUCUAUGUCUCGUUUCAGUUGCGUUCUGCUUUUCUCAGUCAAUUCCUUUUCAUCCAAAAGCUCUUUCCUCAGCUGUUCCACAUUUUCAAUGUCUUUCUUUAGUGUCUCCAUCAGCUGACGCUGCUCUAACAGUUCACCUCUUUCUCUCUCCAGGUCAUGUUUUUGCUUUAAGAUCUCCACACUUAUCUGAUCAAGACUAUCUCGCUUUUUCUGCAGGUCUGCACGUUUGAUGUCACUCUCCUCGGAUUGUCUUUUGAAAUCUUCCUUGGUUUUUUCCAGAUCCAUCUUUUCCUUUGUAACAAUUGCUUUGUCUACAGCAAUGGCUUGUUUUUGUCUUUGUAUCUCAGCUUGUAUUUCAUCCAGGGUGUCAUUUUUCAUUUUGAUCUCCUUAACAAAUUGUUGUCUCUCUUUUUCUAACUCUUCUGCAGUCCUCUGACCUUCUUUCUGAACUUCUAGCUUUAACUUCUUAAUAUCCUCUCUCUUCUUUUCCAGCUCAUCUUGUUCAUUUUUAAAAGCUUGUUUCAUAUUUUGGAGGUUUUCCAAGUCUCUAGCCAACUCGGCUCUCUUUUGUUCCAGAUUCUCAAAAUCAUCCUUUUCUUUUAUUAUGUUGCUUUUCAUGUCAUCCAUUUCUUUUUGUUUAUUUUGAAGUUCUGUUCUCAUUUGUUCUAGUUCACUCUCUUUGUGUUGUAAUUGUUCCUUCUCAUCUUCAAUUUGAGCUAUUUGUCUCAAGUUAUCUGUACUCAUUUGCUUCAGAAUGUCUUUAUCUGUCUGUAAGUCAGUUCUUUGUCUGUCUAGUUCUUCCAUGGCUUGGUUUAUCUCUGCCUUGGUUUUCUCCAGCUCAGAUCUUUCUUCUUGAAGCAAGUCUUUGGCAGACUGAAUAUCCUUUCUUUGUUUCUCUGUCUCAUCCAUGAGCUCUUCCGCCUGUUGGUAGUCCGCUGGAAUACCACUGACGUCUAAUUGCUUUUUAAAUUUGGCUGCCAUCUCUUCUGCCCUCCAUCUUUCAUUCUUUGUCUUCUCAGAUAGUUUCUCCAAGUCUUCAGCUUGUCUUUGAAGGUCGCUUUUCAUCCUCUCUAGUUCCUCCUUCUCAUUUUCAAAGGUGUGUUUCUCAACUUUUAGAUUCUUUAAUUCUUUCUCCAUAUCCAUUUUUUGCCUCUCCAUAAGAUCCAAAUUUUUGGUCAACACCUCUCUGUCUUUUUCAACCUGAUCCUUUUCCUCCAGUAAUUUUAGUCUCAGUUGUUCACAGGUCUCCUUUUCUUCCUCUAGACUGACCAUCUCUCUCUCUACAUUUCUCUUCUGUGCCAUCAUUUCCACUCUGUCUCUUUCUACGUUGGUCAUUUCUGUCUUUGUGAAUUCCAUUAGAUCAUCAACCUCUCGCUGUAAUAGAUCAACGUCAGUUUGUCUCUGGUCCAGUUGACUCAUUUCCAUCAUAAUUGUGUUUUUCAGUUCAUCCAUUUCAUCCUGUUGUUGUAAAAUGGUUUCCUGCAGCUUUGCAAGUUCACUUUCUCUGCGAGAAAGGCUUUCAUUCGCUUUUUGAAUAGUAUCCACUUGUUUCGAGAUGUUCGCCCUCAUUUCUUCAAGAGCGUCUCUCUCUGUCCGCAUCUCUUUUAUUGACAUCUCAUUCCUUUCUUGCUGUUCUGCAAGAAGUUUGUUGGCUUUAGCAAUUUCUGUUUUGAUUUUCUCUAAAUCAGUCUUCUCCAUUUCAAACUCAGUUGCUUGCUUUUGUUGAUUACAUUUUUGGAUAUUAAUCUCCUCAUUAAGGCUUUCAAGAUUUCUUCUCUCUUCCUGAAGUUGAGCUGACAUUUCUUCUAGCUUCUGUCUUUCAUUGUGCAUGUCCUGCUUUUCCUUUUCAAUGUGUUCAGCUUCCCUUUUCAGUUCAGCUCUCAUCUGUUCCAGUUUGUCCUUUUCAUCUUGAAUAAACGUCUUCUCUAACAUCAUCUCCUGUUUAUGAGGUAAAUCCUCAGCCUCAGGUAAGUCUGACUUUUGGCUCUCAACAUCUGUUUCUAAUGCAUCUUUUAAGUCCAUUUCCAGCAUCUGCUCCAUCAAGACACAUUUCCCAUCUGAAUCUGACAUUUCUUUGUCUGUUAAGGAUUUGACUGCAUCCACGUCACUCUUUUGAAGAAACAUUUUAGCCUCUGACUUCUCAAGUAGACUCUCUUCUGUUAUGCCAAAUCUCAGGUGAUCAAUAUUUUCUUGUUUUCUUUUGAUGUCUGCCCGCAUUCUUUCAAGAUCUUCCUUUUCUAUUUGCAACUCUUGCUUUUCAUCUUCAAGUGCCAUUUUUUCUCUUCUUAUAUUCCCAAUCAUCUGUUCAAGCAUGUUUCUCUCUUCAUGCAUCUCUGCCAGUGUGAUCUCAAUGUUUGUUUUUUGUUCAGAAAGCUGUUUUUCAAGCUCUUCCUUGGUUUGAGACAUCUCAGCUUUGGUUUUCUCUAGGUCAGACCGUUCCCUUCUAAUCAAGUCUUUGCCUCUCACCAUUGCUUCUUGUUCCCUUUGUAUUUCAGUAUAGCUUUCAUCCAGAAUACCUCCCUUCUUUUUAAUUUCCUCCAUGAGAUCACUGAUUUCUUUCCUCUCUUUCUGGAGUUGAGCUGUCAUUUCCUCCAGUUUUUGUCUUUCAUCUUGUGUUUUUAAUUUGAUCUUCUCGAACUCUUGUGUCUCUCUUUGCAGGUCAGUUUUGAUCUUUUUUAUUACUUCCUUCUCAUUCUCCAAAGCUUCUCUCUCAUGUUUCAGACUCUCUGAGUCUCUGUCUACAUUAACUAGUUUUUGUUGCAGAUCUUCCAUGUCUCUCUUCAGCAGUUGUUUUUCAUUUUUCAGUAUUUCCUGAUUAGUCAAUACCUCCUUCAUCUGAAGCUCAACAUCUUCAGACUUCUUUCUCAGCUCAGUCAUCAUGUCCUGUUUUUCUCUGAUCAUUGCAGCUUUUUGAGUUUCAGCAAUGCUCUUUUCAUUCUUUGCGAUCUCCACAAUGUCAUGCAGCUCCUUCUGUUGUAUUUCUAUUUCAGUCUCUCUGAGAUCAAGCUGCUGCUUCUCAGUCAUGAUGAUUUCUUUGAGGUUUUUCAAUUCACAUUGUUGUUUUUGAUUCUCUGCUUGUAGUUGCUCUAGUUCAUCUUGUCUGAUUUUAUUUUGUCUUUCUCAUUUUCAAGAUCAUCAAUUUGUUUGGAGAUGUUCAGUCUCAUUUCCUUAAGGUUGUUUUUCUCUCUUUGUAGAUCUGCCAUUGAAGACUCACUUGCAGCUUUCAUUUCAUCCAGAAUCUCAUGUUUUCUCUUUGUAUCUUCAGCAAGAUGAACAAUAUUUUCUUUCUCUUUCUCAAGUUCUUCAGCCAUCUUUUCCAAACUCUGUCUCUCAUUUUGUGUUUCUUCUUUGAGCUUUCUGAUAUCAUCAGCUUCUCUUUGCAGAUCAAUCUUCAUCUGUUCUAACUUGUUCUUCUCAUCUUCAGUCACUUGUUUUUGAAGUGUCAUGAUCUUUAGGUCUUCAGUCAGAUCUUUUCUACUUUGGUCUACAUCAUCUCUUUCUUUCUUCAGUUGCUGUUUCUGUUUUUCAAUCUCUUUGUUUUAUCUUUAUCUAGUUGGCUUCUCUCAUUUCUCAUUUUUUCCAUAAUGUCACUCACUUCUGUCUGUUGUUUGUCUAGCUCAGACUGUCUCAGAUCAAGCUGACUUCUGUCUUUUAUUAUAAUAUUUCUGUCAUUGUCUAGUUCCUGUUUCUGAUUCUGAAUUUCAGUUUUCAGUUGUUCGAGUUCAUGUUGUUUUUGUCUUAUUUGUUCCUCUUGAUUUUUAAUUUCAUGUAUUUGUCUUGUGAUGGUCUCAUUCAUCUCCUUUAGGUUGUCUCUCUCUUUCUGUAUCUCUGCCUGUAUGAUUUCUUUCUCUUCUGCUUGCUCAGCAAAUAGUUUUUCAAGAUCUUCUUUGAUUUUAGCAAUUUCAUGUUUGGUUUUCUCCAAUUCAUGUUUUUCCUUUUCAAUCAUGUCUCUAUCAGAUUGAAUGGCUUUAGUUUUCACUUCAAUUUCUGUGUUCAUUUCAUCCAAGACCAUGUCUCUUCUUUUGGUCUUCUCAAAGAGGCUUUCAGUUUCUUCUCUCUCUUUCUGGAGUUGAGCUGUCAUUUCCUCCAGUUUUUGUCUUUCGUCUUGUGUUUGUAGUUUGAUCUUCUCGAACUCUUGUGUCUCUCUUUGCAGGUCAGUUUUGAUCUUUUUUAUUACUUCCUUCUCAUUCUCCAAAGCUUCUCUCUCAUGUUUCAGACUCUCUGAGUCUCUGUCUACAUUAACUAGUUUUUGUUGCAGAUCUUCCAUGUCCCUCUUCAGCAGUUGUUUGUCGUUUUUCAAUAUUUCCUGUUCAGUCAAUAGCUCCUUCAUCUGAAGCUCAACAUCUUCAGACUUCUUUCUCAGCUCAGUCAUCAUGUCCUGUUUUUCCCGGAUCACUGCAACUCUUUCACUUUCAAUGUUGUUCUUUUCCUUUUUCAUUUCAUUUUGUUGUUUAUGAAUCUCUGCUUGUAGUUGCUCUAGUUCAUCUUGUCUCAGUCUUAUUUUCUGUUUGUCAUUUUCAAGAUCAUCAAUUUGUUUUGGAGAUGUUCAAUCUCAUUUGCUCAAGGUUGUUUUUCUCUCUUUGUAGAUCUGCCAUUGAAGACUCACUUGCAGCUUUCAUUUCAUCCAGAAUCUCAUGUUUUCUCUUUGUAUCUUCAGCAAGAUGAACAAUAUCUUCUUUCUCUUUCUUAAGUUCUUCAGCCAUCUUUUCUAAACUCUGUCUCUCAUUUUGUGUUUCUUCUUUGAGCUUUCUGAUAUCAUCAGCUUCUCUUUGCAGCUCAGUCUUCAUCUGUUCUAACUUGUUCUUCUCAUCUUCAGUCACUUGUUUCUGAAGUGUCAUCAUCUUUAUGUCUUCAGUCAGAUCUUUUCUACUUUGGUCUACAUCAUCUCUUUCUUUCCUCAGUUGCUGUUUCUGUUCUUCCAUCUUUUGUUUUUCUUCAUCUAGUUGGCUUCUCUCAUUUCUCAUUUUUUCCAUAAUGUCACUCACUUCUGUCUGUUGUUUGUCUAGCUCAGACUGUCUCAGAUCAAGCUGACUUCUGUCUUUUAUUAUAAGGUUUCUGUCAUUGUAUAGUUCCUGUUUCUGAUUCUGAAUUUCAGUUUUCAGUUGUUCGAGUUCAUGUUGUUUUUGUCUCAUUUGUUCCUCUUGAUUUUUCAUAUCAUGUGUUUGUCUUGUGAUGGUCUCCUUCUUCUCCUCUAGGUUGUCUCUCUCUUUCUGUAUCUCUGCUAGUAUGAUUCCUUGCUGUUCUCUUUCUUUUUCUAGAUCCUCCUUUGCUUUAGCAAGUUCAUGUUUCAUUUUCUCGAGAUCAUGCAUUUCCUUCUCAAUCAUGUCUCUAUCAGAUUUGAAUUUCUUUCAUUUUAACUUGAAUUUCUUUGUUCUUUCCUUUGGUCUCCUCAAUAAGAUCAUUGAUUUCUUUUCCUCUCUUUCUGGAGUUGAGCUGUCAUUUCCUCCAGUUUUUGUCUUUCAUUUGUGUUUGUAGUUUGAUCUUCUCGAACUCUUGUGUCUCUCUUUGCAGGUCAGUUUUGAUCUUUUUUAUUACUUCCUUUUCAUUCUCCAAAGCUUCUCUCUCAUGUUUCAGACUCUCUGAGUCUCUGUCUACAUUAACUAGUUUUUGUUGCAGAUCUUCAUGUUUCUCUUCAGCAGUUGUGUAUCAUUUUUCAAUAUUUCCUUUUCAGUCAAUAUCUGCUUCAUCUGAAAGCUCAACAUCUUCAGACUUCUUUCUCAGCUCAGUCAUCAUGUCCUGUUUUUCUCUGAUCAUUGCAGCUUUUUGAGUUUCAGCAAUGCUCUUCUCAUUCUUUGCGAUCUCCACAAUGUCAUGCAGCUCCUUCUGUUGUUUUUCUAUUUCAGUCUCUCUGAGAUCAAGCUGCUGCUUCUCAGUCAUGAUGAUUUCUUUGAGGUUUUUCAUUUCACUUUGUUGUUUUUGAUUCUCUGCUUGUAGUUGCUCUAGUUCAUCUUGUGUGAGUCUAAUUUUCUCUUUCUCAUUUUCAAGAUCAUCAAUUUGUUUAGAGAUGUUCAAUCUCAUUUCCUCAAGGUUGUUUUUCUCUCUUUGUAGAUCUGCCAUUGAAGACUCACUUGCAGCUUUCAUUUCAUCCAGAAUCUCAUGUUUUCUCUUUGUAUCUUCAGCGAGAUGAACAAUAUCUUUCUUUCUCUUUCUCAAGUUCUUCAGCCAUCUUUUCUAAAUUCUGUCUCUCAUUUUGUGUUUCUUUUUUGAGCUUUCUGAUAUAUCAGCUUCUAUUUGCAGCUCAAUCUUCAUCUGUUCUAACUUGUUUUUCUCAUCUUCAGUCACUUGUUUCUGAAGUGCCAUCAUCUUUAGUUCUUCAGUCAGAUCCUUUCUUCGUUGGUCUUCAUCAUCUCUUUCUUUCUUCAGUUGCUGUUUCUGUUUUUCAAUCUCUUCUUUGUCUUUAUCUAGUUGGCUUCUCGCAUUUCUCAUUUUGUCCAUAAUGUGACUCACUUCUGUCUGUUGUUUGUCUAGCUCAGACUGUCUCAGAUCAAGCUGACUUCUGUCUUUUAUUAUAAUAUUUCUGUCAUUGUCUAGUUCCUGUUUCUGAUUCUGAAUUUCAGUUUUCAAUUGUUCGAGUUCAUGUUGUUUUUGUCUCAUUUGUUCCUCUUGAUUUUUCAAAUAACGUGUUUGUCUUGUGAUGGUCUCCUUCUUCUCCUCUAGGUUGUCUUUCUCUUUCUGAAUCUCUGCUAGUAUGAUUCCUUGCUUUUCUCUUUCUUUUUCAAGAUCCUCCUUUGCUUUAGCAAGUUUCCUUUUGAUUUUCUCAAGAUCGUGCAUUUCAUUCUCAAUCAUGUCUCUAUCAAAUUGAAUUUCUUUCAUUUUAACUUGAAUUUCUUUGUUCAUUUCAUCCAAGACCAUAUCUUUCACUUUUUUCUUCUCAGUAAGAUCAUUGAUUUCUUCUCUCACUUUCUGGAGUUGAGCUGUCAUUUCCUCCAGUUUUUGUCUUUCAUCUUGUGUUUGUAGUUUGAUCUUCUCGAACUCUUGUGUCUCUCUUUGCAGGUCAGUUUUGAUCUUUUUUAUUACUUCCUUCUCAUUCUCCAAAGCUUCUCUCUCAUGUUUCAGACUCUCUGAGUCUCUGUCUACAUUAAUUAUUUUUUGUUGCAGAUCUUCCUUGUCUCUCUUUAACAGUUGUCUAUCAUUUUCCAACAUUUCCCUUUCAGUCAAUAUCUGCUUCAUCUGAAGCUCAACAUCUUCAGACUUCUUUCUCAGCUCAGACAUCAGGUCCUGUUUUUCCCUGAUCUCUUUUUGCAGAUUUUCUAAUGUGGACUCAUGUAAUACUUUCAUUUCAUCAAGAAUCUCAUUCUUUCUCUUUGUAUCUUCAGCAAGAUGAACAAUAUCUUCUUUCUCCUUCUGAAGUUUUUCAGCCAUCUUUUCCAAACUCUGUCUCUCAUUUUGUGUUUCUUCUUUUAGCCUUCUCAUAUCUUCAGUUUGUCUUUGCAGCUCAAUCUUCAUCUGUUCUACGUCAUCCUUCUCAUUUCGAAUAGCUUUUUUAUGAUAUUGAAGCUCCUUUAUCUCUCUGUCUAGGGCUGCUCUUUUUUCAUUUAUGUCAUUAUUCAGUUCUGCCUUCAAGAGCUCCAGUUCAGUCUCCAUUUGGUGUUUCUGUGUUAGCAUUUCAGACUUCUCUUUUUCAAUAUAAGCCCUUUCUCCUGUUGUAAAUGCCAUGACUUCAUUUACCUUUCUCUGUUUUUGAUCUAUUUCAGUUUUCUUCUUUUCAAGUCUGUCUUUUUCCAUUGUGAGAGCUUUUCGUGAGGCUUCCAUUUCAUCUUGCUGCCUAUAAAUUAGAGCUUGGAGUUGUUCAAGUUCAGUCUGUCUCAUACUCAUUUGUUGUUUCUCAUUUGCAAUGUUGUCCUGUUGCUCUGAAAUACUAUCUCUCAGUAAAAGAAGCAUGUCUUUUUCUUUCUGUAUUUCUGCUAGUGUGAUCUUGUUCUUUUCUCUUUCUUCAACGAGCUGGGUUUCAAGAUCCUCCUUCGCUCUUGCUAUAUCUGUCAUCACCUUCUGCUCAUCUAUCUCUGUUUGCUCUUUCUGAAUUUCCAUUUUUAGACUUUGCAGCUCCGCUUGUUGGUAUCUUGUUUGUUCAAUGUCGUUUUCUAGAUCAUCUCUCUGUUGUGAUAUGUUCAUCCUUAACUGCUCAAGAAUGUGUUUCUCCUUCUGUAUCUCUGCCAGUGUUAGCUCAUUUUGUCUUUUAUGUGAUUCAAUUUGGUUCUCAAGAUCUUCUUUGGCUCUGGCUAUCUCUGCUUUAGUUUUCUCCAGGUCAGAUUUGUCCUUUUUAAGAGUGUCUCUAUCAGAUUCAAUUGUUUGUUUUUGUUUUCUUAGAUCUCCUUCCUCUGAUCUUAUUCUGGCAAAAGAAAUCUCUAUAUCUUCCUUCUCUUUUUGAAGGAUGAUCGCCAUUUCCUCAGCCUUCUGCCUGCCAUUUUCUAUGUCUUGCCUUAGUUUAGCAAUAAUUUCCUUUUCUUGUUGGAACUCAUUUUUCAUCUUAUCAAAUUCCUGCUUUUCUUUGCCAGUCAAUUGUUUCUGGUAGUUUAAGGUCUCAAACUCCUCAGCUAAGAUGGUUCUAUUUUCUUUUAUAUCCUCCAGAUCUUUGUUCAGUAUUUGCCUGCUGUUUUCAAUAGAUUCUUUUUCGUGGAGAACUUCUUGCUUCAUCAGCUCCACUGUUUCACUUUCCCUCUUCAGUUCUACUGCAAUGCCAUUCACUCUUUGUCUUUCUUCCAUUACAUUAGUCCUCUCUUUUUCAAGUCUGUCCAUCACACUCUCUAAUUCUCUCUUUUGCUUUUCCAUUUCAGCCUGUCUUUCAUUAAGCUGACUCUUUUCUUUCAUGAUAACAUCCUGAAUCUCUUCUAUUUCUUUCUGUUGUGCAUGAAGUUGUGAUGUUUGUAUAUUCAGGUCAUUUUCUUGGUGUCUCAAACUUUCCUUCACUAUUUUAAUACCAUGUUCCUCUUGUGAAAUGUUCAUCUUCAUUUGCUCAAGGGAAUUUCUCUGCUUCUCCAUCUCUAACCGAUCAAUAUCAUUCAUUUUUCUCUUUUCAGCAAGAUCGUCUUUUGCUCUCGCUAUGUCUCUUUUGCUUUUCUCCACUUCAAACUUCUGGUUUUCUAAUACAUCUUUUUCAGUCUCAAUGUCUUGCUUUUGUUUUUCUAGCUCAAGGCGCAUCCUCUCUAGAGCUUCUUUUCUGUAAUUUCCCUCAUGUUGAAUUUGAGCUGCCAUGUCUUUUAUACUCUGCUUUUCAGCUACCACCUCUUUCUUUAGUCUCUCAGUAUUGUCAGCCUCUUUCUGAAGGUCAGCUCUUAUCUGCUGUAUCUCUUUCUCAAACGAUUGCCUCUGAAACUGCAAGUUUUCAAAUUCUUUGUGCAGUUUGGCUUUAUUUUUCUCUAUGUCUUCCUCAUCCAUUUCUAGUGAUUUCAUCCGGCUUUCAAAUACUUCUUUUUGCUCAAUUAAAUAUCUCUUUUGGAGCUCCACAUUUUCAUAUGCCACCCUCAGUUCUUCUCUCAAAUUCUCCAUUUCCUGUCUCUCUUUCUCCAGAUCUGUCGCGUCUCUAUCUCUUGCAGUCUUAACGUAUUCUAUUUUUUCAUGUGCAACUGUCCAUUGUUGAUCUUGGUCAGCUUGCAUCUGCUCAACUUGCAUCUUUUCCAUUCUUAAACUGCUCUUUAACUCAUCUAUUUGUUUUUGUUUGUUUUCAACCUCUGCUUCUUUUUGUUUCAGUUCAUUUUCUCUCUGUCUUAAAUUUUCUUUAUCACUUUCAACGAUGCACCUUUGAUUUGAGAUGGUUUCACUCAUCUGGGUAAGAUUGUCUCUUUCUUUCUCUAUAUCUGCCAGUAUAAUAAUGUUCUGUUCUUUUUGCUGAGCAAAUUCAUCUUUGAGAUCUCUGAGCUUAGACUUUUCCUGUUCUAGCACAUCUCUCUCAGACUCAACAUAUCGCUUUUCUUUUUCAACCUCCAUGUGCAUCUCAUCCAGAGCUUUGGACCUCUUUUCAAUCUCUUCACCUAGACUAUCAGUGUAUUGUCUUUCUUUCUGAAUUUUGGCUUCUAUAUCUUUUACGUUUUGUAUGUCAUUCUGAACAGCUUGUCUUACAUUUUCAAUGACACCGGCUUCUUUUUGCAGAUCAGCUUUCAUGCCCUUCAAUAUCUCAAAUGCAUUUUCCUGCUUUUCUACAUCAGCUUUCAUUUUAUCCAGUUCCUCUAUCUGUCUUUUUGUCUCUUCUGAAAGGCUCACAAUGGCAUCUCUCUCUUUCUGAAGUUGCACAGCGGUGUUUUUAAGCUUCUGUCUUUCAGCUAGUGUAUCUUGUCUUAGCUUCUCAGUAUCUUCAGCUACUUGUUGCAGCACAGAUUCAGUCUGUUGCAACUUGCUUUUCUCUUCUGCAAUACUUUGUCUUUGUAAUUUUAUCUCCUCUGCCUGACUACCCAAAUUGAUUUUCUUCUGCUCCAGAUCUUCUAUAUCUCUCAGUAAAACUAUUCUGCAGUCCUCAAUAAGUCGCUUCUCAUUUAGUACCUCUAUUUUCACAAGCUCCACAGUUUCUAGUUCUCUGUUUAAUGUAUCUGUCAAGUUACUCUCCAUCUGCUGCUUCUGUUCCAUUAUAGCUGCCCUUUCUCUGUCAAGAUUGCCUUUUUCAUUUUGUGUGAACUGCCUGAUGGCUUCCGCCUGUUUUAGCUUUUCGGCUAUUUCAUCAUGGCUUUUCUGAAGUUGACUUUUUUGCAUUAAAACUAUAUUCUGAAUAUCCUGCACUUCUUUUUGUUGUCUGUUAAGAUCAGCCUGCAUUUGCUGCAGUUCAUUUUCUCUCUGCUUUAUUUCCUCCUUCUCAUUCUCAAAAUCAUCUUUUUGCUGUAAAAUGAGUACAUUUAUUUUCUCAAGUGUGUCUCUCUCCUUUUUGAUCUCCUUCAGUGUCCGCUCAUUCUCCUCUCUCAGGUUCUCUAGAUCGUUCUUUUCUCUCGCUAUUUCUGCUUGUAUCUGUUGCAUAUCACACCUUUUCUUUUCUAGUUCCUCCCUCUCUUGUUUAAGCUGCUCUGCCCAUUUCUUCAUGUUCUGUCUUUCUUUCUGCACAUCCUGUUUUAACCUUUCGAUAUCACUAGACUCUUUUUGCAGCUCAUAUUUCAUGUUCUGUAACAUUCCCUUUUCAUCCUCUAUCCUUUUUCUCUGAGCUUCUAUGUCUUCUAGUUCUUUAGCAAAAGUGUCUUUUAGGUCGGCCUCCAUGGUUUGCUUUUGUUUUUCUAUAUCCUGUCGAAUGUGAUUUAGAACAUCUCUGGCAUUUUCUAAUUCUGUUCUUAUCAUGUAUUCUUUUUCUCUGCUUUCUGUAAUCUCAGCCUGCAGGUCAUCCCAUCCUUUCUGUAUUUCUAGCUUUGUCCUUUCCACCUCAUCUUUUGUUCGUUCUAGCUCCUGUUUUCGCAGCUCUAAUUGUAACUCUAUGUCUGCUGUGUUUUUUGUAGCAGUUUGCAGUGCGGCUUCUUUGAGUGAUAAUUCAUCCUUGCUCAGUUUUAUUUCUGCCAGUUGUCUCUCAAUUGUACUUUUUUGUGCAAGUAAGUCUUCUUUAAAAUUCUCCAGAGCUUGUCGCUCUUUAUCCAGCUCCUCCAUAGUCAAGCUCAUCUGAUAUUUUCCUACAUCCUCCAUCACAUCAGUUUGGACUUGUACAUCAACUUGUUUAAUCUCCAUCAAUCUUGCCUUUUCUAAUUCACAUUUCUCUCUCUGUAGAUUUACGUCCAUACUCUCUAGUUCUUGUUUUCUUUGAUCUAGCUGCUUCUUCUCUUUCCAUAUUAUAUCUAAACCUCUCCGGUUUUCUUCUCUCUCUGAUUGCAGCAGUCUUUCCCAGUUUUGUAGACCCACUCGUUUCUUUUCCAUCUCAAUUUCCAUCUCUUGUAAUUUUGUCAUCCUCUCUUCAGCUUCAUUCUUUAUCGCUCGUACAUCCUCCUUUGUUUUCUCUAGUUCAUGUUUCUCUUUUAAAAUUAUUUCUUUAUAUUGUUCCAGUUCUUGUCUUUCUUUCUGUAUAUCACUCACAAAGUCUUCCACUUUAAUGGCAGCUGCUUCUUCUGUUUUUGCAUACUCCUGGCUCUCGGUUGGAAUGAUGGCUGGUUGAACCUGAAAUAAAUGGUUCUUGUUUGCAUUUGCAUCUCUGUCCCAAUAUUUUUUUUAGAUAUACUAUGUAGGCAGUAUACAGUUAUUCUGAACACAGUUCAUGAUCAACUUACUUUUCACAAUCUUGAGUAAAAAUUCAGUUUAAAUCCCUUUUAGCAUUUUAUACAACUUGAAAUGUUGACCCUAUUUACUUUCUUAAUACGUGUGUAUAAUUCAUUGUCAAGUCUUUGUCUAAUUCUUUUUCUCUUGUUUCACUCAAGAUUGUCAUGUUUAACUGUAAUAAGUUGCAUCCUUGCAAAAUAGGUUACGGAUGCUUCAUGUUGACUUUAAGAGUCCAUUUGCUGCCGUCAAUAUUGAUAAAGCAGAUAAAAUAAUGACACUGUUCAAUGCAAGUAAAUUAUGACUUACCUUUUCUUUGCCUGUCUUUUCUAGAGCAGUGAGUUCUUUCUGUCUCUUUAUCUCUUCUUUGGCCUGUGCUAUGUCCUCCAAAGCAUUUUUCACAUCUUCUCUCAUCUGCUCCAUCAUAUCAUUCUCUUUAAUGGUCUCCUCCAGCCUCUCCUCCAGUUCUUGUCUUUGUCGCUGCACCAUAUUUCUCACGAGUUCUAGUUCAUCUCGUUCUCUCAUAAUCCUUUCUUCUCUAUAUUCAAUCUCUCUUCUCCUUCGUUGAACUUCAUUCUUCAAUAGCCUCAUCUCAUCCCUGUCUCUCUUCAUCGUUUCCUUGUUGUAUUCUACCUCAGCCUUAAGACCUCGCAGCAUUUCCCGGAUGUGUUCAAUCUCCAAAAUGAGCCUGUGCAUCUCAGCAUUCAUCUCCUCUUGGACUGUUGUCUCCAUCUGACUUCCUGCCAUUCGACUUUCAAUCUGGAAUUUUGCUUUCCGCACCAUUUCUCUCGUCCCCUCAAUCUGCUGAAUAAGACUGAUUAUUGUGAGGUUCAUCUGUCCUUUCUCUUCUUCUAAAUCUCUCUCCUCCAUCCUAAGUUCAAACUCCUCUCUCGCUCUUUGGAUUUCAGCUUUAACUUGCUCCAUUUCAUAUUUCUGCCUCUCCGUCUCCACUCUUUUCUGUUCCAUCUCAUCUUUUGCCCUUUGUAUCUCCAUCCUCAGUCGUUCCAUCUCAUCCUUCUUCCUCAUGGUCAGUUUCAUCCUUUGGUCAAGUUCUUUCUUCUUCCCUUCCAUUUCUCUCUUCAUCAGCUCCAUUUCUCCAAUCUCUCGUUUGGUUUUCUGCAUCCUUUCCUCCAGCUCUUCUCUUUGUCUUUGUAUUUCCUCUUUGACAAGCUGCAUUUUGUCCAUCUCUGCUUUUGCUAGCUCCAUUUUCCUUUCAACAUCCUCUUUUUGUUUUAAGAUCUCAGUCCUCAUCAGUUCCAUCUGGUAUCUCUCACUUUUUGCUUCCAUCAUCUGGAUUUCAAUAUCUUCUUUCUGUUUUUGGAGGUCUGCUCUCAUCUUUUCAAGAUGAGUCAUUUCCAGCCUUGCCUUCUCCAUCUUUACGUCGAUGUCCUCCUUCUGUUUUGUUAACUCCAUCUUCAUGUCUUCAAUAUCACCCAUCUCCUUCUUCAUAGCUUCCAUCUUCCUCAUCAUCUCCUCCUUCUCCCUGUUCAUCCUUUCACAUUCCUCAGGCUCUCCCUUUUCAGCCUCAUCCCACAACCUCUCUAUCUCCGCUCUCACCCUGUUAAUCUCAUCCUUGACCUCUUCAUAUGUGUCUUUCCCUCUCAGCGUUUCCAAACGGAUCUUCUCCAGAUCUUCUCUCUCGUCCUCCAUGUCCUCUCUCAUCUUCCUCAAGGUGUCCUCUCGUCGUUUUGUCUCCUCUAACCUUUUAUUCACUUCCUCUCUUUGUUCCUGGAUCUCAAUCAUAAGGCGUUCAGCUUUCACUCUAUCUUGUUGCGCUAACUCUCUGCUUCUGUUCAUGAUCUCUGUGUCCAGAAAUAGCUGAGUCUUGAUCUUCUCAAGUUCUUCUCUUUGUCUCUGCACUUGAGCACUCUGUUCUACAUCAUAUCUCAUCAUUUCAUACCUUUGUUUUUCUAGAUCUUUCUUGUCGUUCUGGACCUGAACUCUAAUCUGUUUGAGUUCCUCUCUCUCCUUGUCCAUCUCAGCUAAACGCUUUUCCUGAUCUUCCUUGUCCUUCAACGCAGCUGUUUUCAGUUGCUCAACAAUCUCUUUCUCUUGCUGUGUAUCCUCCAGCAUUUUCUGCAGGUUUUCUUUUUCAGAAUACCUCAACUUUUCUAGCUCAUGUCUGGCUCUUUGUAUCUCUUCAUUUAUUUGUUCUAACUCCUCUGUUUUUUUGUGUAUUUCAUCUCUUUGCUCCAAUGCCUCUGUUAUGGUUUCAUACCGUCUCUUUUCUGACUCUUCCAUUUGCUUUUUUAAGAGCAUCUCAGCCUCUUUGACUCCAAGUUUGGCAUGGUUUGCCUCCUCCUUUUCUUGUUUUGCAACUCUAAUCCUGUUCUCUAUUUCUGCCUUUUGUUUUUGUAGCUCAUUUCUCAUGCUUUUGAUUUCAUCUGCUUCUUCUUUAGCCUUUUCGCUGCUUUUAGUAAUCUCUCCUCGCUCUUUCUCCAUCUGUUCUAUCAUUUUUGUCAACUCCUCUCUCUUUGCUUUAGCCUCAUCCAUCUGUUUGAUAGCGGCAAGUUUGUCGUCUUCUGCCUGAAGCUUUAUUUUUUCAAGACUGUCCUUCCACUGCAUGAGCUCCAUCCUGCUCUCCUCAAUGUUUUUCUGCGAUCUUUGGACCUCGUCCCUUAAUUUUUCCAGUCUUUCCAUCUCAUGCUGAGUUUUCGCUCUGAGUUCAACUUCCUCUUUCUCUGUUUCAUGCCACCUGUUCUCCAUUUCCUCCUUCACCCUGAGGAUUUCACUUCUGAGGAACUCACACUGUUCGGUCUCUCUUUUCACCAAUUCUCUCUUUCGUUCCAGCUCCUCCCGCUCUUCCUCCAACUCAGCCUUUGUCUCCUCCAUUUGUUCUUUUGUUUUUUGGAUCUCCUCAAUUUUCUUCUCAAUAUCUUCAAUCUGUCCUUGAAUUUCAGUCUUCAUUUUUUCCAUUUUCUCAUUUUCCCGGAUUGUGACUUCUUGGCUGUUCUCAAUAUCCUCUUUGGCUCUGUCUAUCUCAUGUUUAAUUCUUUCUAACUCUUGUCUCUCCCUCAGCAUCUCCUCUUGUCUUCGGUUCAAGCUGUCUUUUUCAGCCUUGAUCUCUGCUUUGAUUAGUUCUGUCAUUUCUCUUUCUUGUCUGGCUUCUUCUCUUAUCUUAAAACUUUCUUCCUUCUCCUUCAGUAUCUUUGCUUUCUCCGUAUCGUUAGCCCUUUGUAUCUCUACUCUUAAACUCUCCACCUCGUCUCUCUCCCUCUGCAGUCGAGCUCUGUGCUCUAGCUCCUCUGUCACUAUCUCAUACCUCUUCUUCUCCAUUUCUUCUUUAGCUUUUCGUAUAUCAUCCUUCUGUUUUUCUAGAAUAUCUUUGUCCUUCUGCAUCUCUAUUUUCAUAUGUUUCACCCUAUCAGUUUCUCUUUUUAUUUCCUCAACUCUGGCAUCCAUAGAUAUCAUGUGAUUUUGUAUGUCCACUUUGGCCUGUCCGAUCUUUUCCCAUUCCUUUUUGACCAACUCUCUAUUCAUCACCAACUCCUCUCGACCUCUCUCAAUUUCAUAUUUCAUCUCUUCCAGAUCCUUUUCUUUUCUUAAAAUAUCUUGCCAUUUCUUUUCAAUGAGGUUGUUUUCUGUAAGCGCUUGAGCUCUCAGCUGGUUUAUUCUCUCAAUCUCUUGUUUUGAAAAAUCUCUGUUUCUUUCAACCUCUUCUCUUGUUCUUUGAAUCUCGUCUUGCAGGUAUUUCAGCUCAUCUUUCUCUCUUUGGAUUAUAGCUCUCUGUUCCAGCCCUUCUUUCUCUGUUUCAUGCCAUCUUUGCUCCAUUUCCAUCUUCACUUGCUGUAUGUCAACUUUAAUCUGCUCAAAUUGGUCUCUUUGCCUCUUGAUGUCAUACUUCUUUCUCUCCAGGUCGCUUUUCUCCUCCUCUAUUUCAGCUUUCAUCUGCUCCAUCUGACACUUUGCUUUCUGUGUUUCCCCGAUCUUCAUCUCUAUCUCGUUGAUCUGAACUUGUAUGGCACUUUUCAUUUGUUCCAUUCGUUCCAUCUCGUACUUUGUGCUUUCACGGUUGCUCUCCAGCUCCUCCUUCUGUCUCAGAGUCUCAUAUCUGAUCAUCUCCAAGUUCUGUCUCUCUCUCAUGAUUUCAUCAUGCUUUUGCUCCAGGGUGGUUUGCUCAGUUUGGAGAUCAGAUCUCAUUUGCUCAAUCCUCUCCCUCUCUCUAUUUACCUCUUCUUUAUUACGAUCCAUUCUUUCGCAGAUGUGGUCCAUCUCAGCUUUCAUGUGAGUAAUAGUUCUCUCAAGUUGUCUUUUCUCAGUGGUCAUCCUGACUAUCUCAUCUUGCUGUUUCUGAAUCCUCUGUCUCAUGUAGUCUAUCUCAGUCCUCUCUUGCUUAGUUCCUUCCCAAAGUUUCUCGAUCUGCUCAAUGGCACGCAUUGUUUCUAGUCUACGCCUUUUUAGAGAGUCUUUUCUUUUCUGGGUGUCACUUGAAUGUCCAUUUCUGUCAUCCUGUCUUCUUUUUUCUCUGGGAGAACUGGGUGGACUGAUUCUCUCUGUUUGUGUAUGCUUGCUGUUGCGUUGUCUCCACUCUGCAAAAUAAUAAUAAAAAAAGAUAAAUAACUAAACUUAUUAUUAUUAUUAAUAAAUAAAUAUUAAUGCAAACGUUUUUUUUUCUUUCUCAUACAACUUAGUAAGUUUGUAGUGCCAUGUUAAUAAUGACCAUGACUGAAUUAACUUAGUGAUAAGAAUUCACAAACUGGACAGAUCCAGUUCUCGUUAAAUGGCACUAUUGCUAUCCACUAAAAUUAAUUAGAUUUUCUAACCUAGUUCUUGAAUCAGUUCAGGCUCUGUCAUUCUCAGGAUGAGAUGGAAGGACACUCUGUUUAGGGGUGGCUCUCUUUCCAAAGCCUCAAACAGGAGCCGCAUUGCCUCCUGCUGGGUUGGAGCAGCCUGCACUUGUUGAGCUGCUGCUUCAUGGAUCAGACUUUGGGAGACAACAGCCUCAGCAAUGUCACUGACCCGAGUAGCCCUCGUAAUUAUCUGCUCCUUGAAUUCUGUCAGGAAAUCUCCAACUGUUGGGAAGGAGAACAUUUGCACUGCAUUAAUAAACAAUGCAUUACACAGUCACAAUUAAAUGUAGAUUAAAUUAAGUAGUGCAGUGAACUUUACCGUAAUCUCUGGAUUCUGCCAUGGCUGCUUGCUUGCUUAAGAAAUUAAUUCCAUUGUGUACUACAGUAUUUAAAAAUAACAAAAUAUCAUUAAAAAUAAAGGAACAUAAGGAAUAAACAUAAAGGAUAAAGUGUACAGAAAUGUAAAGGUGAAGUUAUUUGAGUGUUGUACCGUUUUCAAAAGAUUUUAACUGUGAAAUGUAUUGUAAAAUAGAGAAAAACAAUAAAGCAAGAUAUACAUUCAAUCCAGAUCAUUUUUAUACAUGAGUAUUAAGGAGGCAGAAAUGGGAUUGCAGCAUUUUUUAUAGACUUGCAUUGUUUUCUUGACAAAUGUUUUUAUCCUUUAACUUAAUAAGUAAAACACAUUUUGAAGUUAUAAAUAACAUGAUUAUUAAUAUGUUUUACAAUAAAUAUUAUUUCAGUUUCUCUUCAAAAUGUCAUGUUUAAUUUGUUGCCAUGUCCUUAUAUUUGUUUGUGAAAUUUACUAGCCAUUUCUGAGUGAUUUUUUUUUUCUAGUGCUAAGAUAUGACUUAAGGAACUAAUAUUAUUUUAUAAAAUUGUUUAAAAGAUUCUUACCUUUUGUGAUAUUACUGGAUUUAAUUAGUUCUGUAAAAAGUUGUGGUCUGAUGAUGGAGGCAUAUUGCUCUAGUAAUGGUGAAG
ensembl:lncRNA